AGAGUUUGAUCAUGGCUCAGGACGAACGCUGGCGGCGCGCUUAACACAUGCAAGUCGAGCGAGAACCAGGCCUUCGGGUCUGGGGAAAGCGGCGAACGGGUGAGUAACACGUGAGUAACCUGCCCUCGGCACCGGGAUAGCCCGGGGAAACCCGGAUUAAUACCGGAUAGCCAUUCGAGCUCUCGAGCGCGAAUGAAAAGGUAGCUUCGGCCUCUGGCCGAGGAUGGGCUCGCGGCGGAUUAGCUUGUUGGUGAGGUAAAAGCUCACCAAGGCGACGAUCCUUAGCUGGUCUGAGAGGAUGAUCAGCCACACUGGGACUGAGACACGGCCCAGACUCCUACGGGAGGCAGCAGUGGGGAAUAUUGGACAAUGGACGAAAGCCUGAUCCAGCAAUGCCGCGUGAGUGAUGAAGGCCUUAGGGUUGUAAAGCUCUUUUACCCGGGAUGAUAAUGACAGUACCGGGAGAAUAAGCCCCGGCUAACUCCGUGCCAGCAGCGGCGGUAAUUC
rnacentral:rRNA from 1 species